ensembl:rRNA 5S_rRNA 5S ribosomal RNA
GCUUACGGCCAUACCACCCUGAGAACGCCCGAUCUCGUCUGAUCUCGGAAGCUAAGCAGGGUCGGGCCUGGUUAGUACUUGGAUGGGAGACCGCCUGGGAAUACCAGGUGCUGUAAGCU